CUUCUACUUCCUGCAUUAGGCGCCAUUUUCGGCGUUGAGGUUGAAUUACAGCAUGCUGUUGUCAAACAGAUAAUAAGAAUUUAAGAGACUACAACUUGCUUUUCAGUAUUCAUUACAAGCAUGGGGCGAAAGAAGAAGAAGCAGAUGAAGCCUUGGUGCUGGUAUUGCAAUCGAGAUUUUGACGAUGAAAAGAUCCUCAUCCAGCACCAAAAGGCAAAGCAUUUUAAAUGCCACAUUUGCCACAAGAAGUUAUACACUGGCCCCGGCUUGGCCAUUCACUGCAUGCAGGUACACAAAGAGACUAUUGACAGUGUGCCAAAUGCGAUUCCUGGAAGAACAGACAUUGAGCUUGAGAUCUAUGGUAUGGAGGGGAUUCCUGACAAAGACAUGCAAGAGAGGAGACGGACAUUAGAGCAGAAAUCUCAAGAUGGCAAAAAGAAAAACCCAGAUGACUCGGAUGACGAUGACGACGAUGAUGAACCAGGUCCAUCGGUGCCGCAGGUGGCUGGAGUGCCACCUCAGACAGGCUAUGCUGCUCCCAUGGCUCAGCCAGGGAUUCCCCCUGUUGCUGGGGGACCGGGAAUGCCGCCUGGUGGAUAUCAAGGAAUGCCUCCAAUGAUGCCAGGUGUUCCGCCCAUGAUGCACGGAAUGCCUCCCAUGCACGGCAUGCCUCCCGGAAUGAUGCCAAUGGGUGGGAUGAUGCCUCCCAUGAUGCCAGGCAUGCCGGGGAUGCCGCCAGGAAUGCCUCCGCACAUGGCUCCCAGGCCAGGGAUGCCCCACAUGAGCCCCGCCCCCGUAGCAGGAGUCAUACCCAGUCGACCAACAGUACCGGGGGCUCAGCCCACUGUCUCCAAGCCUCUUUUCCCAAGUGCGGCACAGAUGGGCACAGCAGCUGUUUCCUCUCCACCUGCAGACCAACAGUCUGCCUCCUCUCAGCCGCCCUUUCCUAACACCCCACAAGCCCAGCAAAGUGCUUCAGGAGCCGCCGCAGCAAACCCCCACGGCGCCAGCGCAGCCUCCUCAGACCCGCCCAAAGCAACAUUCCCCGCAUAUACCCAACCCUCUGUCUCUUCCUCCGCUUCCACUUCCUCCUCUAACCCCUCUAGCGGCACUGUGGCCAAAGCCCCGGCCACAGUGCCCACUAAACCUGCCACCCUGUCCGCCACGAGUGCAACUAGUAAGUUGAUCCACCCUGAUGAGGAUAUCUCGCUGGAGGAACUGAAGGCCCAGUUGCCCCGUUACCAGCGUCUCUUAGCCAGGACAGCUCAGGCCCAUGCGGCUGCUCCCCCGGCGGCAGCUGUCGGCGGCAUGAUGGCCCCGCAGCAAGGUUUGCCACCACAGCAGCCUGGCAUGAGGCAUCCCAUGCACGGACAAUAUGGUGCUCCCCCACAGGGCAUGCCAGGCUACAUGCCUGGGGGGAUGCCUCCAUUUGGGCAGGGUCCUCCUCUGGUGCCCCCUUUCCAGGGAGGCCCUCCCAUGGGCAUGAGGCCGCCUGUCAUGUCUCCCGCCGGGCGCUACUGAAGGGGCAAAGCAGCCACAACAUUAGGUUUCACUCAGGUUCUUAGGGGUGAAGUGUGUUAAACUCAGUCAUAUUUCUGUUGAAGCUGCUGGACUUACAUGAACGUACCAACCCCCUUACAAAGCCGCCUGUCUUCUGGGCGGGCAUUCAAUCAGGUUGGUUGAGUUCUUAAGAACUUUGUCAACAAUUAUUGUGGAUUAAAAAGAUCCCUCCGAUUACUUAACUGCUUUGUAUGUGUUUGUCGUCUGUAGCAACCCCCACUCCACUUUUCAGCCUUGUACCCACUCUUCUGGCGCUACAGGCCUUUAAACCCCAGUAAGUACCCGCUAUUCUGUGUAGUGUGGGUCUGUACUGUACAACUAUAUUGUAUUUCAUUUCAUAGUGCUCUAUGGUUCAAAGUUUAUUAGACGGCACAGACCGAUGAACUGCUAGUUGAAGUUAACUGUACAGUCACGGAAUGGACUUGCAUGGUAAGUAAACAAAAUAACAGCUUUAGACUAAAGCAGGAGUUAAAAGUAUUACAAGAUAAGAUUCAACAACAAGCAUGAAAUCCUGUUAUGUUGGAUUUCCAAGUGGAAAACUGCUACUACCACCUGGACAAUAGUUUGGGUCCUUAGAAAUUUAAGACUUUUGAGCCAACCCUGUUACUGCCUCGCCAUCAUCCAUCAAAAACUGUAGAACCAUUUCAGCUGUAGGAAGGAAACUUGUAAAACUGGCCCCCAAGGACUGAAGUUUGACUCCCACUGUAGGGUUUUGGCAGCAGUAUGUGUGUCAAACCCAUUGUUUUGUAACAUUCACAAAUAAAUUAUGAAAGUGAUGCCAUUAUUCUGCUUGUGUGCUUCACUGGACAACCAAUCAAUGCUCAGUGUUUGCAGACAGAUUGAAUCUGCCUAAUAUACCAAGACUCAGUGAAACAAUGUAUUAUCAUUAAAAAAUAUACACACAACUAUAAUAUGAUGCUAUUUAUUACAGAACCCACGAGUCAGCAUGAUUAAUUAAGACGCUACCUACUGCUGAAUGCUUUUAUUAACCGCUGAGAAAUAGUUGGCAUUUUAGGUCAGACGCUAACUCGUGGACGUGUAACAUACAUUUUGAAUUAACACUUUAAACCCCAACCAUUUUUUAAAUGGAAAGAUUAUUGGAAACUUGCCAACAUCUUAGUGGCAUUUUCUUUUAUAUUUAAGAUCAUCAUCUCAAUUCUUCUGUCCAUCUCAUCCAUAGAAGUUGCCAGAGUGUCAUACAUUGCCUGGAGAUAGAAAAGAAUGUCAGAAGCCAAUUACAAAGUCACACUGAAUAAAACUAUCCUUGUGGUCAUACCUGAGCUUUCUUGGUUUGUUGGCUGCAGGUGCCUGUCAGGCCCUGGAUCUCAACUUUCAGCUGCUGAUUCUCUCUGGAAAGCCCUUGGAUUUCAUCUACCUUUUCCUCACGUUUCUGACCUAUUUGGUUCCACUCUCUGGAUUAUAGUUGGACCAAAAACAACGUAAAAAAUCUAGCAACAAGUUGUACAUUUGCUGCAUCUCCAUGUCGGUGCGGUUCAUUCUCUGGACCAUGUUUUGAAGCUCCACGACAUCCCCAUCCGUUUUUACCUAAGGUGAACACCGCAUACAUGUUUCCUGUGGCAAGAGUCUGCUGCAUGUCUAAGGCCGCCCUCUGAGAAAAACACAGUCACAAGCUAACCAUUGCUUACGUCCUCGGUAAAACAAACCUCAGCAAAAAAGUGCCAACUGUUUCAUAGAAGAGGUUAAAAUGAAUACAGUGCUUUAGGAUCAUAAUUUGCGGCAUACUAAAUUCCUUGCAAGAAAAGUGAGUGCACUUUCAAAGCAAAAAAUAUUUGGAUCAAUAUCACGUACAAACUUGGCUUCCUUUGCUGACAUCACAUCAAUUCUCUGCUUUCUGAAUUGAAGAAAGUUCAUGAUGGCACUCAAAACAGAAAGCGUUCGCAGUUUCUCUGAAAAAGAUUAUCUGGUUACAUUUCAUAAAUGCAUUGAUCAGGAAUAGAAAAAUAAUAAUUUUAAACUUACUUGGUGCUAGUAGGUCAUUCAGUGAGAAGUCAUACACUAAACACAUGGGCAGAAAUUGCUGCCUACAAAAAGAUGUCAUUUAUAAUGAGAAGAAAGUAGAAGAAAUGCAAGAGCAACACAAGAAAUUUGACUAGAAGUGCUUGAUUUUCAUCAAAAUGUACGCAUUGUGUUUACAGCAUCAUACCAAUAUUAUGGCUACUUUAGUUUGCCAAGAGCAAAUUAUUAAGAAAGAAUGUUUCAGUUUGAGCACACUGAUUACACAGUUUCAUAUUUGAACCAAAACUCACAUUUGUGAGCAGAUGCAGAGGAUGCCAGUUGCCCCCUCGUAAGAUUCAGGGGACUGAAUGUUUUCCACAAAUGUAACCUGUUGGAAAAUGGAUAUUAAACAGUCAAUUCUGCAAAACUGUAAUCUGAGCUAAAUAUUCAGAUGGGAACGGCCCCAAAUUUAUGAGUGAAUUUGUGUCACUGAUGAAAUGCUGUCACUUGUCAGGUCCGACCUCAAUCCACAACAAAUCAAUUAAUUCCCAAUAUAGAUGAAAUUUGAUACAACUGAAGAAUGGACAUUGAGACCAUCUAACUGUAGAAACAAUACUUAACCAUUGAGUGGUAUUCAGCUCUGAAAUGAAAGAGUUGAUUCAGUACUCUCAUGUAGAGUAAUUGCACUGCUUCUGGCUGUAAUGAAAGAAAGGAAGGGGGGGGGGGGAUAAGCUUCUAAAAUUCAGGCAAAAAAAAAUUUGAGCACGACAAAGCAAACUUUUGCCACAAGACUUAGGCAAUUCAAGGAGGUUAAAGUGCAUUAGAAGUAAACGCCCACUUUUAGUCAAAAACAAAACAUAACAUCAUUCUGGCCAUUACAAAAGUAACUUAGCAAUUCCCCAAAUAUUUUUCCGUUUUCUGCAUUUUUUAACGACUUAAUUUUUACAGUAGUAGCCUAAAGUAAGCUGUCAUUUUAUUCACGUUUUGAAACGCUCGAUUAACACUUGGGAGUUCAUUCAGAGCGCACAAAAUUACCUUUGGAGACGGAGCGAGAUCGCUCUUGUUGAAAUGUUUUGCUUCUUCGCCAAGAAGGACUUCUGUUUUGUAAAACCUCACCACCACAUCCACGGGGUGAACGGGAAAGGCGUUUUCAGCCAUUGUUGUUUAGGCUUCGUGUAAACAAACAACAAACGGGUCCACCGCUUGCACAAAUCUCCCGCAAAAA